CAGCGACUUAGUACAGAGGUGAAUAAUCCUUGGACCGUUGCUGUAUAUUCCAUUGAUGUGGAAUUAGAAGGAGAAACGGUGUCAACUGGAAAAUAGCUGUGUUUCUGCAAGAUGAAAUAUUUUCCCUUUGGCCAAGGGCAUCAGCCUGACGUCGUUUGAAAAGCCUGGACUUUGGAAUCAUGGCAGGACCUCAGGCUUGAAGUCACCUCAAAUAUAUCUGGGUUCCUAGGAGUUUUUCUCGUCAAAUAAAUCUGCUCUCCUGGGUGCUGCUCUGAUCCUG
rnacentral:lncRNA from 1 species